CCCAAGCGAGGCACCCCGACGCAUCGUUUUCAACCUCAAAAGUGGCAGCCCGUCUUCGGCAUUGCAUUCUUCCACCUACAGGUCCCCCGAUCUCUCAUCUCCCUUUUUUUAUGUUUGUAUACGAUUGGACCUAUAUACUUUAAGGUACGUACUGCUUGCUAGUGACAAAUGUUACUAUCCUGCAUACUCAUUGUUGAUUUUCAUCCAGAUUGACUUCUUGUCCAUCUACAAAAUGGCGAUAGUAAGUUCUGGAUGGCUAACACAGCUUAAGGCAAAAUGUUUUUUUAGUUUAUGUCCUUUCCACUUUUUUUCCAGGCUUGUGACUGAAAUUGGUAGUGUUCUACCCCCUACAACCAUUAAUGUUCACAAAGUUAAGGAAGUAAUUAGUGUAUUUGUGAUUUUAAUAACUGAAUAGUAAAAUUAGGCCUGAUUGCAAUAUGAUAUAUAACGAUGCUUCGAUGCUCUCACCAUUGGAUUGUACUAUAGAAUAGGCUUGAAAUAUCAGAUGAUAUAUAGUGUCGAUGUUUGGUAUUAUUGAACUAUUUCCAUCAAAUGCUGAUGCAUGUUUCCAAUGCUUAUGCGGAGUAGUACACCAUAUCCAUGUACUUAUGGUUAUAUAAAAGGCUGUUAAAAUCCAUCUAGUUCACGGCGGAGGAGACGGCCUCUGCCCCGACGAAUCUUCAAGUCCACACCAAUCUACUACCUCCGUUCCUAAAUAUAAGCCCUUGUAGAGAUUCUAAUAUGGACUACAUACGGAGCAAAAUGAGUGAAUCUACACUCUAAAAUACGUCUAUAUACAUCCGUAUGUAGUAUGUAUUGCAAUGUCUAAAAAGGCUUAUAUUUAGAAAUGGAGGGAGUAGUUCAUAUGUAUGGAAGUAGUGGCGCAUGCUCUUUUAAAUAAAUCUUUUUGUAUGCCUGACCAAAUCAUUUGUUUUGUAUUGAUCAGUGUAUACCUGCACUUGACCUGAGUGCAUGGACAACUCUUAUGUAGUAAAUUCCAAAAGAGAUAAUGGAUGACGGUACCUUAGACUACAAAAUUGAUAAUUUAUAAUUAGUUGAGUGAAAUCGGUUUGGCUCUCCAUAUUUGAUGUGUUGAAGCACAAUAUGUGUAGCACUACCAAGAUUUGCUAUUUCGGCCAUUAGUCCGGCGGUACAAUGGUGAUUUCAAUAAUCCUGUAGUCUGUGGAUGUUGCUAUUCAGUAGGUUAAUAACGUGAACUCCUAUUUAAAAAACUAGUUUUAUCUGUCCUCAUAUUUUUAAUCAUCCAUUGAAUAUGAAUGGAAAAAGGUGAAAAUGCAGGUUAGAGAGGCGCACAUCUAUCUUAAGCACCUGGUAAUUUUCAGGAAUGGUUAUGCGGAUCAGACAUGUUACGUAUCUACAUAACAAACUGAGUACACCUCGUUUUUUAUUCUAUUGUCGUUAUAAACAAAAACCUUCUUUAUCAAUUCCUUGUGAUGCUAAAAACAAAUCUAAGUACAUAUUAGAAAGGAAGAUGUAAUAUCAAUAGAAUUCGCAUAAUUUAAUAUUAGCACGACUAAACAUUCAUAGUCUUGAAAGUGGAUUGCAUGCACACAUAAUAAGUUAAAUCCAUGUUCUCAUGGACUCUAAAGUAAACACAAUUGUAUGCCAAUGCAAAUUACUACUCCCUCCGUUCACAAAUAUAAGAUGUUUUGGAUAUUUCAAUAUGGACUACAUACAGACUGAAAUGAGUGAACAAACACACUAAAACAUGCUUAUAUACAUCCAAUUCACAAAAAAGUUAGAACAUCUUAUAUAUGUGACGGAAGGGAGUGCAAAGUAUAUAGAGUAUCUAGAAUAUAUUUGUAUUAGUUCAACUAAGGGGAUUAAGUAUGUAGUUUAGCACUUGCUACUGCCAUGUUCUAGCUUGUGUUCCUUCUAGGCGCUUCCCUAAUCCUCUUGUCUUCUGUUGAUUCUUUUCUCCUAUUUUUGCAUGUAGUCCUUUUUUCGGUUUUUCCUGUAGAUUUUGAAUCCCAUUUGUUCACUAAAAUUUGAAUGUCAGUAACAUAAUUUCCCUGCUAGGCCUAGGCCAGCUUUAAUAGAAAAUUAAUUGUGUUCAGAUAUGCUUAUGGGGCAUGGUAGCACCAAGGUGCUAGUGCAUGUUCAUUCAAACAUAUAAAAUAUGAACUUUUUUUCUUAGAUGAGGGUACCUCAUCAUUGGUAUCGUCAAUGCUAAAAUGGUCAUGAUUUUUGUCUUGUACCUUAUAUUUUGAAAUAUAAAGUAGGACAUUUGUUUUUCUUAAUUAGGAAUGUAAAGUUUUGAUAUGUGUAAAGUGUUCUUUCAGGUACUCUUUUAAAUUUGUUGUGGGUAAGAAUUUUAACAUGUGUGAAGUUUCUUCAUAGUCUCUAUCUAAAUCAUCUUCUAAUGUAAUUACAUAUGGACAUACUUUCUUUUCGAAUAUAUUUGCCUGCAGUUUUUGGAAAUUCCUAAAAUAACAACAAUUAUUUAACACAUGUAGAAGAUGAGAAGUGAAAUACCUGAUCAUUGAGAAGUAUGUUCUCUGUAACCUUUUUUGCUUCAUUCGUGACUUCUGUUCCUUGGAUUUUCAGUAUGCUUUAUAAAGAACAUGCUUGCAUUAUACUUUUGGUAACUAUUUGAACUUGUUUUCCGAUAUGGAUCCUGCUGGAGGUGGCUUGUUUUCGUGCAGAAGAUGGUACCUGCUGGAGGUGUUGUUGUCGCUAGACGGAACUAACAAUGUAGGUUGUGUCAUUGCUGGCUAGAGUUGAUCGGAAAAUCCUCAAUAUUGUGUACAAUGUUCUACAAGCACAAUAUUGAUAAGUGGAAGUAAAAGUAAGCGGCUUUCCGAAUUGAGCUUAAACUUGUUAGUUGGGCAUAUUUUGGUAACACAAAUAUAAACUUAUAUAUGUGCUAUUAAUUAGAGCAAAGGGAGUUCAUGAAAAGGACGACAGGUGCAUAUGAACUUCCAGGUGUGCUACAUAGUAUUAUUAAUUAAAGAACAUAAUAGCUCUUAGGAUAAAAAGAGGCGUGCAUGCAAAGAGCGGUAGUAUAGGUUUUAGAUAAUCAAUCUAAUACCUGCCUCGGCUUGGGUUGCCACUAACGCUGCAUAGCGCAAUGACAAUUCCAAUAGAGAUGGUGGCCGCGCUAGGGCAUCCUAGUUCUCUUUUACUGAUCCGUCAGGUUCAACACCUGUGGCUGCCUGUCAGGUCCAACAUCCGCGUCGAGCAGCCAUGCGUCAUUGCGAUGGGAGAAGUCGGUCUUCAGUCCCUCAUGGAGGCCAUGCAGUUCAUGGUGUAUGUCUACAUCCAGCCCGGUGCUUUGUGGACAGACUUCUCUCGAGGAAGUUUGAGUGCGUCGGUGUUGCAGGAAUUCCUGAGUGAAUCUUGAAGGGGGUCUUUCUUUCCAGUAAAGUAUCUGCACGGAAGAUAGCUCUCUAUGUUAUUUGAUACACCAGAUCUUUUGUGUAUUUAGAUGUUCAUCUGUACUCUAAUCUAGUAGUAAUGAAACAAUAGUUUCUUCUCGGAUGCAUGUUCUGCUUUCAUGUAAGAUGUAACAUCAGAUUGAUAAGAAAAAAAACAUGGUGCUUCAUCAAAUUCUAUACGUUUUAUAGAGGAUUCAUUAAAGAACAAAAUAGGUAUGGAGAAAAAAAACA
rnacentral:lncRNA from 1 species